rnacentral:rRNA from 1 species
GGAAUCAACGCUGGCGGCGUGCCUAACACAUGCAAGUCGCACGAGAAAGGGGAGCAAUCCCUGAGUACAGUGGCGCACGGGUGAGUAACACGUGAAUAAUCUACCUCCGAGUGGGGAAUAACUGAGAGAAAUCUUAGCUAAUACCGCAUAACACUUACGAGUCAAAGCAGCAAUGCGCUUGGAGAGGAGUUCGCGGCAGAUUAGUUAGUUGGCGGGGUAAUGGCCCACCAAGACGAUGAUCUGUA